AUGGAAAUACAUUCCCAUACAAAGAAAACAGAUUUUAAGGGCAAAGUAUCUAUUUUAGAAUUGUGUAUUUAUAGUCAGUAUCUUAAAAAUUUAAAUUUCAAUUACAUGUGUUGCUCUCCUGUCAUUUGCUCCAUGUACACACACUCUGGAUGCCUUAUCUGCAAAAGUAUGCGUAUGAGUGCACUGCACUUCACUGCGGAUCUUCCCCAGUCACUGCCGGCUAUCAUGCGCUUCUGUUACGGAUUCUUCUCAUCACCAUGAUUCUUAGGAACAGCAUCCAUUUCUUAUUCACACCUUUAGCUCCAUAAGUUCACGCACUGUUGCACUACUUUAUAUGCACCAGACAUUCAAUAAAGCUUUAUGGAAUGAAUUCUUCUGUUAUCAUAAUUUUUUAUUCUGAAUUAUUCUUAUUUGAGUAGUCACUGCAGAAACCAGUAGAAAAAAAGUUACUAUCUAUAAUCUUUUAACAGCAAACAAUAGAAAUGAUUAAUCUUUCAAUUAUAAAUUCUAUUAGAGGUGAGUCUAGAGAUCACCCUCAUUCAUAAAACGAGGCAGUAGAAGCCCGUAACAACACUGCCGUCGGGACUAAGCAAUAGGCCUGGACAAUAAGUUUCCUCGUAACUGAGAAAAAGACACACUGCAUAGCAAAGGGUACAUGGGAGACGUCACUUGGCAUAAAAUAUAAAUGAACGCACGGCACACCAAAGUGGUUCAUAAUGAAGUUUUGCUGAAUAUUCUUUUUUUUUUUUUUUUUCCUCCGGUACCGGGAACCAAACUCAAGACCUUGCGCUUGCCAGGCAGGCGCUUUUGCCGCUGAGCUAAAUCCCCAGCCCCUGCUGAAUAUUCUUAUUACCCCAUCAAAGCGGUCAAAUUUUAAAAGCUCCAAAUCAACAAGGCUUAAAGGAAUAGCAGGGCUCAUUUCUUGGCAUGACACGAUUCUCUGUUCAGAGUUCUGAAGUGCACAUAAACUGAGAAGUGUGUGAUGGAAGAAUUGAUCAAACAAUUUCAUUUCAUUGACCUAAACAAUGAAUCACAAUUUGAAAAUUACUCACCAAAAAUGAUAACAAAACAUCCAAACACCUCGAUUCCUAGUUUAAAAAAACCAAGCACCCCCACCCUGCACAUAGAGAUACUGAAUAUGUACUUUUGCAUAGAUGAAUAAAUGAUUAGCUACUUUUUAUUUGUGCAGUGCUGGGGAUCAAAUUUAAAUCUAUACAUGAGCUAGGCAAGCACACUACACUGAGCUACACCCCAGCCCUUUAUUUUUCCCUUUUUCUUUUACUUGUUGCUUUUUAAAUUAAAAUAUUUUUCAAUAUUCUAUAAAGCCCCUUGACAAGUGACAUAAUGCUAAUAUGUGAGCAUGUAUUUCAGGGAAGGAAGCUGCAAAUCUGUCUGUUGGCUGAGUCUGGGAAACACUCCCCAGUCUCCAGGCUGCUGCUGGCUGUGCAGGACGACACCUGCAGGGCAGUGCGCCGCUUUCCGCGUCCUGGCCUCUGCUUACCAACCUCAGUGACCGGGGCGGGCAGUCCCAAUUAGGAUGAAAGCAAUAGCGAGCUGCCCUUUAAACAAAUCUGGAGGCAAAAGGACGAAGUAAAAAACAUACACAGCAUGGAAAAAGGAGAAAAGUGCUGUUAAAAUAUAUGCAAACCAUUACUGGGUGACUAGUAAAGAAAACUUUUAAAUAACAUAUUUUGAAGGUGCUAGUUUUUCUAAGGUUAUUUUUAAGCAUAUUCCAGUUUCCCAUAUAAUUAAAAUUUCCAGACACUUUGUAUUCACAAAAACCCAAAUGGGAAUGAAAGCAACCCACAACAAUAGAGAGCAAUUUUAAAAAUGACUUCUGUCACUCGCUUCUCACCAAGGAAUAGCUUUAAAAUGGAGUUCAUAGUGUAGCUCCGGGUUCUUCAGUAACAUUUCCCAAGGACUUGGGACAGAACUGCCAAGGACUGCAACAAGUUUUUCUUUAGGAUUUUUUACAAAAGAAUUUACUAAGUGCCAUACUGUUACCAAAAAUCAACAUAAGAAGUCUCUUUACUUUUUGCCUUACAGAUUUAGACUUAUACUGACUACUUAUCUCAAACGCAUAGUGUCAAUUUUUCAAAACAAGCAUUGUACAAACACAUCACUUAGCAAGGGUGACUACAGUCAAAGAACUGGUUGUUCUGUCUCUUUGACAGCUUACUUUUGCCACCUAGUGGGGGAGGCAGUUUCAUAGUCUGGUUUUGUAUUUCUGUAAGAUUGUCUCCUAAAAUUUAGGACAACGAUUGCCUGCUUAGAAGAUAAUGAUCAAACAUAUUUUUACAACCUUAAGUAAUUUCUCCAAAUUGGUCUAUUUUAUGCCUAUUGACUUUUUAGAAAGCAGCUGGUUUUCAUAAUAAUGAUUAACUUAAUGAAUUAAAAUAAUACCUUUUCAUAGACAUUAUUUGUGAUUGGAGGGGUGGGCCUUUUACGCAUUUCUAAUUGUUCUCUAUCCCUUUUCUUUGUAGCAUUUUAAGUGGGGACCGGGAUCAGGUUACUGGGCUGGGCAGGAGGAAACAUGAUGACCAAGAGUUAGGUGGAGCACUAACCACAGGAAGCAAAUCUACAUCUUCUCCCUUCAUUUCAGAUCAUGGCUCUAUUCCCGAUCUUCAGUUAUCUACUGAGUGUCAGCUCUGGAACUGACAUUUAACGCGGCAAAAAUCAAAGUCACCAUCUUCCAAAAGAAACAAAGAAUGGGGCUUCUUUUUGAGUGAGUGGCACAGGCUUAAUCAGAGCUGGAGUACAGCCCAGGGCUAUAAAUGGCAGAAGAGAUUUUUUUUCCUGAAGUGUGCAAAAAUUAAUGAAACAAGCAAAAGGAACAAUCAGAAGUCAGGAUCAGGUUACCGGGCUGGGCAGGAGGAAACAUGACGACCAAGAGUUAGGUGGAGCCGUAACAACAGGAAGUGAGGCUCAGACCAUGAGAAAUUUGAAGUAGGUCACAAAGCUAAGGCUAAGGGAACUGGAAGGAAGACGUAAAAGAGGCAGAGAGUACCAAAACUCAUCCUUAGGCUUGAGGUACAUGCCGGAGUUGAGAGGGCUGUGGGUCCUGAGACACGCAGAAGUCUUGGGCCUGCAAAUUUAUUGUUUACCAAAAUUUCCAUUAUCACAAAUUUCUUACUGUGGAAGCUUAUGAAACUACUUUGACAUAGCUUUCUUGAGGUAUAAUUUGCAUACCCUAAAGUUUAUCCAUUGUGAGUAGCUUUAGUAAAUUCAGCAAGUUGUACGAACAUUACCAUGCUCUAGUCUUAGGACACUUCCAUCACCACAAGGACUUUCUCUGCUCCCACUCCUAGUCCGAGGUACCCAUUGAUCUGCUGUUGUAGAUAAUGUCUGUUCUGGAAAUUUCACGAGCACAAUCAUACAGUACGUGCCCCCUUCCUUGUGCCUGAUGUAAGGUGUUUUUGAGACUCAUAAAUAUGCAUAUAUAUAUAUAUAUAG
ensembl:lincRNA